rnacentral:rRNA from 1 species
UACGUAGGGUGCAAGCGUUGCCCGGAUUUAUUGGGCGUAAAGGGCGCGUAGGCGGUGCGGUAAGUCUGUAGUGAAAUCUCUGGGCUCAACUCAGAGUCUGCUGCAGAAACUGCCGUGCUUGAGUGUGGGAGAGGUGAGCGGAAUUCCUGGUGUAGCGGUGAAAUGCGUAGAUAUCAGGAGGAACACCUGUGGCGAAAGCGGCGCACUGGACCACAACUGACGCUGAGGCGCGAAAGCUAGGGGAGCAAACAGG